UACGGAGAGUGCAAACGUUGUUCGGAUUCACUGGGCGUAAAGGGCACGUAGGCGGCUCGGCAAAUCGGUCGUGGAAUCUCGACGCUUACCGUCGAAACGGCGGCCGAAAAUACCGGGCUCGAGGGCGUGAGGGGUCACUGGAACUCCUGGUGAAGCGGUGAAAUGCGUAGAUAUCAGGAGGAACACCUGCGGUGUAGACGGCUUUCUGGACCAUUGUUGACGCUGAGACACGAAAGCGUGGGUAGCAAACGGG
rnacentral:rRNA from 1 species